UGAAAAGCAAUGAAGAGAAAGAGUACCUUGGUGAUGACUUUGUACAGAGAGCUCCGGUCGCUGAAAAGGAGUAAAGAAUAACCUUGGGAAUAUGGUCUCAGAGCUGCGCAUCGAACCCUUAAGAGGGUGUAGGCUGCGCCGGAACCGUGCACCCGUUACCGUGACGCGUUUAUCGCGUCGUACCUGAUAAGGUGAAUGCCGCAAGGCAGGAAUGAAUUUGGGUGGUACCACGUGAGCGACAACUCUCGUCCCUUUA
rnacentral:ncRNA from 1 species